rnacentral:rRNA from 1 species
AGUGAACGCUGGCGGUAGGCCUAACACAUGCAAGUCGAACGGCAGCACAGUAAGAGCUUGCUCUUACGGGUGGCGAGUGGCGGACGGGUGAGGAAUACAUCGGAAUCUACUUUUUCGUGGGGGAUAACGUAGGGAAACUUACGCUAAUACCGCAUACGACCUACGGGUGAAAGCAGGGGAUCUUCGGACCUUGCGCGAUUGAAUGAGCCGAUGUCGGAUUAGCUAGUUGGCGGGGUAAAGGCCCACCAAGGCGACGAUCCGUAGCUGGUCUGAGAGGAUGAUAAGCCACACUGGAAAUGAGACACGGUCCAGACUCCUACGGGAGGCAGCAGUGGGGAAUAUUGGACAAUGGGCGCAAGCCUGAUCCAGCCAUACCGCGUGGGUGAAGAAGGCCUUCGGGUUGUAAAGCCCUUUUGUUGGGAAAGAAAAGCAGCAGGUUAAUACCCCGCUGUUCUGACGGUACCCAAAGAAUAAGCACCGGCUAACUUCGUG